GGAUGAAGCCCCUUCGGGGGCGGUAAACUACCCUUUCGACCUGGGAAGGAUAAUGACGGUACCAGUGGAAGAAGCACCGGCUAAACUCUGUGC
rnacentral:rRNA from 1 species